rnacentral:sRNA from 1 species
GGUGGAUCUAAAUAAACCAAGUCAUACUUUCGAACGUUGACUAGCAUAUCUUCAAAGUCGCUUGACCUUAGGUCGACAUCCUUGAGAGCUUUGGAGUAUUCAGAUAACGUUGCAAGAUCAGGGAGCUUGCCGGUUUUUGUCCCCAUAGGAACAUUAAACUGUCCAUUCUUGUUCGUUCGGUAAACACCAUUAAAACAAAGCUUGUUUAAGUAAAUAAACCUUGCCGCCCUUUCGGAGGGUGAAAGCUGCUUCGUAUCAAGGCCUCUGACCUUAUAAUACUCGGACUCUGAUAUCUCCAUGCGCUUCAAGCAUUCAAAAACACUCUUUGGAGAAUUCUUGAUCUCUGAAUAGGCUUGCAUGAGAUCCGUAUUCAUAUCGGACAGCACAGCUUUACGUGGCAGAACGUCAAAGAACAGACAUGCCGAACCGCAAAAAGGCUCAUGAUAAGUGCGGUAAUCUUUAGGGAGUCUAGCUUUAAUGCUAGAGAGUAGCUUUUUUUUG